GAGUUUAUUGAGUGGUUUAAUAGAUGAAAAUGGGACAAUAGGGAGAAGAUUAGCAGGGCCCCUGCACAGGGAUGAUAUGCAAAUCUGUGAAGCGUUCCCUCUCCUU
ensembl:snRNA U6 U6 spliceosomal RNA